UACGUAGGCAGCAAGCGUUGUUCGGAGUUACUGGGCGUAAAGGGUGCGUAGGCGGCUUCUUAAGUUUGGUGUAAAAUCUCCCGGCUCAACUGGGAGGGUGCGCCGAAUACUGAGGGGCUAGAGUGUGGGAGAGGAAAGUGGAAUUCCAGGUGUAGCGGUGAAAUGCGUGAGAUAUCUGGAGGAACACCGGUGGUGUAAACGGCUUUCUGGACCAUUACUGACGCUGAUGCACGAAAGCGUGGGUAGCAAACAGG
rnacentral:rRNA from 1 species